GAAAUGCGAUAAGUAAUGUGAAUUGCAGAAUUCAGUGAAUCAUCGUAUCUUUGAACGCACCUUGCGCUCCUUGGUAUUCCUUGGAGCAUGCCUGUUUGAGUAUCAUGAAAUCUUCAAAGUAAAUCUUUUGUUAACUCAAUUGGUUUCUACUUUGGUAUUGGAGGUCUUUGCAGCUUCACACCUGCUCCUCUUUGUUCAUUAGCUGGAUCUCAGUGUUAUGCUUGGUUCCACUCGGCGUGAUAAGUUAUCUAUCGCUGAGGACACUGUAAAAGGUGGCCAAGGUAAAUGCAGAUGAACCGCUUCUAAUAGUCCAUUGACUUGGACAAUACUUUUAUGAUCUGAUCUCAAAUCAGGUAGGACUACCCGCUGAACUUAAGC
rnacentral:misc_RNA from 1 species